GAACGGCGUGCGCGCUUCUAUCUGUAACGCGUCUAUGUGCAGAGGAAUAAGAACGUCAGUGCAUCACCACUAGAGGAGAUAGACAACAACUUCAUGAGAAUAGAGGCAUUAAAUGGUGAUGUUAAUCUUUCAGCCAGCAAUGCCCAGUGAUAAAAGUUGAGCCAUGACACGGCUAAGGGUCAUCAAGGAGGCCACGCUGGAUGGCACAAUUAAGGAGGAGCCGCCGGAUGAUGACGUCACGCCAGAUGAUCUGAUAACUAUAGUCUCCGCCGAAACGGACUAUCCCAUGACGCUGGUUCCUGCCAAUCUGGCUGGUCUAACCACAGCAAACCCAGCUGAUCAGGGUAACUCGUCCGCGGUGGACGCGGUAGA